CAAUAGCGUAUAUUAAAGUUGUUGCAGUUAAAAAGCUCGUAGUUGGACUUCUGACGUGGGGACUGCGCCCCGUUUCCUUUUGGGACGUUGGGGUGCGGACUUGUGUCUUCCUCUCGUAGUUGGUUGGUGCACUUAACUGGGGUGCCUUCUGAAUAUGGGACCUUUACUUUUGAAAAAAUUAGAGUGUUCAAAGCAGGCAUUGGCUUGAAUACAUUAGCAUGGAAUAAUAGAAUAGGACUUGGUUCUAUUUUGUUGGUUUCUAGGACUAAAAGUAAUGAUUGAUAGGGAUAGUUGGGGGUGCUAGUAUUCAGCGGCCAGAGGUGAAAUUCUUGGAUUCGCUGAAGACUAACUUAUGCGAAAGCAUUCACCAAGGAUGUCUUCUUUAAUCAAGAACGAAAGUUGGGGAUCGAAGACGAUCAGAUACCG
rnacentral:rRNA from 1 species